UGUUUUCAUGCACUCACACUGAAAACUGCAUCAGGAUGAUGUUGUCAAUAACUCUGAUUGUCGUGUUGGGUUUUCUGAGUCAGGAGAUUUCUGCAAACAAGUUUCUGACUCAGGCUGACAAAUCCAAAUCUGUUAGUGUUGGAGGGACCGUGAGCAUCAGCGCCACAGGGAGUUCAGAUAUUGGUGCUGAUCUCAGUUGGUACCUUCAGAAACCUGGACAGGCUCCCAAACUCCUUAUAUACCAAGCAUCAACUCUCUUCUCAGGGACUGCGUCUCGAUUCAGAGGCAGUAGCUCUGGUUCUGACUACACUUUAACCAUCACAGGUGUUCAGACUGACGAUGCUGGAGAUUACUACUGUCUGGGCUACCAUAGUGGCAAUGUGUUCACACAGUGAUUUAGAGCCGUACAAAAACCUCCUUCAGUUUGACUGAAGUGAAACCGGCCUGCUGCAGGUGCAGAGGGUUGGUGAAGAGACUGUGCUGAGGAGAACUGGUCCAGUGAACACAACACAAGAGUCAUCAAGCAGAACCACAAUGAAUCUAAAUAAAACUGGAACAAACUCACAGACGCUCUUCCAUACACAGUUUAAACUUAUAUUAUUGUCCCUUUAUGAGUAAACUGGGGAGGUUAAACUCUUGUUCUCUUGUUGGACUAUAGCCACUGAUAUCAAAACAUGUUGAAAAGUGUUUCUACCAACAGCUGCACAAAACAAUCUAAUAUAACAGAAAAUUCCAAUUUACCAUUUUUCAUUUUAAAAAUCCAAAAUAUUUAAUUUUCUAAACAGAGCCUUUCCUUUCAAAAUAUCACAAAGUAGUAAAAAAAUACA